rnacentral:lncRNA from 1 species
AGAAAAGGAGAGAGGGAGAAAAGGAGAGAGGGAGAGAGGGAAAAAGAGAAACACCCAGCAUUUAAAUGAUUGUGUUCUUUAAGGAUACUUCUGUCAGUCAGCAAGACUCUACCAUUCACCCUCUUUACCCCAUACAUGUAUGUAUAUGAAUUUUAAAAAAUUUAAUAGCAAAUGACAUGAAGCACUUUAAAGUGAAUAACUUCAUGGCACACAGUACCUUCUCAAGGUGACGUGGUUUCCGUCUUUAUCUAGUUCUAAAAACGUUCACCACCUGCAAAGAAAACCCUGUAUAUAUUAAACAGUUACCUCACCACUGGAGUUCCCAGCCACUGUCACCACUAACCUGCUUUCUGCCUUUGUGGUUUCGGCUGUCGUGUGUGUCUUAUAGAAGUAGAAUUAUAAUACUUGACUUUUUGCAUUUGUCUGGCUUCUUUCACUUAGCAUGAUAUGCCCAUGGUUCAUGCAUCUUAUAGCAUGUAUUCCUUUUCGUGGUUUAGUCAUUUUCUAUUGACAAUAUGUUCUAUGCUGGUUAGGGAUGAUUUGGUUUUGGUUUUGCCUUGUUUGACAACUUGACACAAGAUAAAGUCACGUGGGAAGAGGGAACCUCAAGUGAGAAAACACUUCCAUCAGAUUGGCUUGUGGGUAUUUUCUUGAUGGAUGGUUGCUGUGAGCAAUGUAAUCCCUGGACCGGUGACCCUGGACUGUAUAGAAAGCAAACUGAGCAAACCAUAAAGAGAGAGCCAGUGAGCAACUUUCCUCCUGCUUUAGCUCCUGCCCUGACUUCCCUCAAUGAAGGACCAUGAUUGGGGUGAGUAAGCCAAAUAAGCACAUUUGGUCCCAGCGUUUAGCGUAGCAAUAGAGACAUCUAACUAGUGCACAUACAGUCUGUCUACUCUUUAACUUGGGCAGAGAUGGACAUUUGGAGUCUUUCUACCUUGGUCGGCUGAGAACAAUUCUACCCUGAGCAGGGUUGGACACCCUUUGGUUGGAUUUACUCCUUUGGGAUGCAUGCAUAUGAGCUAAGGAACCGCUGAGUUGUAUGUCCAUUCUGUUUACCUUCUUGAGGAGCUGCCAAAUUGUUUCCCUACAUUUUUAAUUGAGCUCUUGCCUUCCGCAAAUACUGUACUAAAGCAUUCACCACACAAAUGCAUUUGCAUGGUGUGUGUUCAGAGACAAGGAGAGACCUUGAAGUCAAUUAGGAAUUUGUGACAGCUCCUGCCUCCACAAUCUCUCUCAAUUUCUCUUGGUCUCUAUACCUCCACUUAACUGUCUGCCUCUUUUUGUGUACUUAUUUGGGGGGGGAGAGCAAAGGGGGAGCAGGGAAGGACCACAGAGAGUUCCCCACACAGCUCUAGCAGUGAUUAAUAACAACUAUUACUAAUUGUGCAAGUGCUAGUCUGUAGAAUAGAUGUUAUUAUUCAUUUUGCAGGCUCAGUAUAGAAAAUUUGCAAAAUUAAGAGUCAUAUCCAAGUUCAAGUAGCAGAAUCAGGAUGUAAGCCCCAGGCUAUUCAAUAUCAUUUACUUCUUGACCAGCAGAGAUGUGAAAGGCUUAAGACAAACACCAUAUGGCCAGUGUCAUGGCUACUCCUGGCUGUCGGAGAACACAGGUCUCAUCAGUGGUAGGGAAGCAUGGGGUAGACCAGUUCCUACAGGUUGACUGUGGAUCCAAGGAUAAGCCCAGACUUGGGAAUUUACUGAAAAAAGAAAUCCCAGGUUAUUCAUUGGUGAUGAGCUACGAGCCUGUGAUAUGAUAUUGGACAGAGGUGAUGCUUCGUGUGACACUGCCUGGACUGGUAGAUGUCACCAUUGUAGGCAAAGUGGUGCACAAAUAUAAUCCUAAAAGCAUAUUACAUAAGACGCAUUUUUCUAUAAGUUAUAGCAGAUUCAAGUCUGUCCUCUGAAGACAGUAUCUCUCAUUUGCUCUGUAGCCAUUGUGCUUGCUGAUUUGAACAGAGAGUGGGUGGCUGUACCCAGCACCAGCCCAGAGCUCUGCAACCUUUGGUGAGCCUCAGAAACACUAACAGAUCUUAAAAAAACAAGUACCUAGAAAGGCUGAUAUAGUCAGGCAGCCAGGAAUCUCCAUUUCUCAUCAGCACCCAGGUGACAUCUAAGGCUUAAACAACAUCACUCACAGUCGGGUAGAGAGAGUGGCAGCCACCAUGGGUGAGAAAGACAACUGUGCAGACUCCCAAAGACUUGCUGAACCCCUUCUGCCCCUGUCAUCAUCCUACCUCUGAAAACGUGGUGUCCGGGUGGGUUUUAACACAGUGCCAAUUGUGGGUAAAUGUUCAGUUUACAGACACAGGAGAACAUUAUGCUGGUCUUUAAGAAGUUAAACGUGAAAUUAACAAGGAACCGAAACAUUUGCUCAUAAACAUCCCCCCCCCCCCGAAUAACUGAAAAGAAUAGGAAGUUGUCCGUGAGUGCUCAGAGGCUCUGCGUGGAGCAGCCCCAGCCACCAUCGAUCAUGGCGAUCAUGGGAUUAUGCUUAAACCCUCAAAAUCUAUGACUGACUUACCAUUAACAAUUAGGGACACAAAACAAAGAUCAUCGGUAGUGUCCUGUCAGAAAUCUGUGGGUCUUGGUCAAAAACAAGAGUGUUCCCAUGAGACCGCCGCAUCUCAGCCAGAUGUCCAGGUAAGAGAAGUUUUUAGAGCCACUGCCCCAGAAGAUUAGGAGCACUGAGCAUCACUGAUGCCAUGCACACUGCUUAGUCUAUACAGAUGUAAUAGGAGGUAUGCAAAUUCCCCUGGCCAGCCCCCAGGACAAAUAAGAAAAAUGGGUGUACCAUGUGGAUGGACGAAAGCCAAGGGCCACUCCCAGCAGGUACCUCCCCUAGGUGAUGGGCUCUAAAAAGUUUUUUAUUCUGCUUUCUUGUCUCUUCAGUCCAUCUUUUUAGGAAAGAGCUCACAGUCUCAUGGAGAGGUGUUCUGUUUAUUUAAGGCAACUGGGGGCAAAAGGCUUUGUGCAGAAGAUGAAACGAGAGCCGUGUUAAUUCUGUGUUAAUGACAGGAGAGCAAUUUUCUUACAGGAAAUAACUAGUUACCUUAAUCAUUUUAAGUAGUUAUUAACAUCAGCCUAAAAAGGAUAGCUCUGCUUAUCACGAUCCACGCACAAAGGAAAUGAAGACAUGAAUAACUGGACCUUAAACACAUUUCUGGCAUCUUCCUUCUGGGUGGUAUUAAACGGUAUUAAUCUUUUUAACCGACUUCAAUCCUGAGACCACAGCCCUGUGAUAAAAUGUUAAGCGAGUCGCUGGAAAUAGAGGUGGCUUCGCCAGAUUUAUUGUGCCAAUUUACCAACAGCGAAAGCACACAGCCUUGCUGCGAGGAAGCCCAUAGAAAAGGAAGACUGGCAGGGAGAUGUAUGGGUUAAUUAAUAAAAUGCAGAUAAUAGCAUCGGCCUGAUACUAAUACUUCUUCAGGGGCUGCUUGGUAUACAUCUCUGGGAAUAAGCAAAGCUGCAAUGUAUUGUUGCUACUGUAUCCAGUAAACACACACACACACACACACACACACACACACUCCUCAGAUAAGGAUCAGAGGUGGGAAAUGAAAGAAACACAAGCAACUUAAUCCAGGCCACAGCUACACAAUAAAGAAGACAAAAGAACUGCCGAGCAAGAAUAAGAGGCUCGUUGCAGGGUUUUACAGUUUUAAGACACGUGAAGUCAUUUUUCCCCCUAAGUAAGGGAACUGUUCUUCUCCCCCCUGAGGAAGCUUGCUUUGUGGAGGAAACCGGCAUUAUCAGACACGUCAACAAGCUGUAUUUAAGGACGAAUGGUGUGUGCCAAGGGCAUUGGGUAAAAGGGUUUCCAAAGGAGUGGAUCUCCUGCUGGGGGCUUGGGGGGAGGAGUGGCGAAUUCCUCUAAGCAAAAUAUGUUAGAAGCCAGAAUAGGAAAGGCCUUGAGAAAGGUGUGUGGCGCAGGGGUGAGUGUGCCGAUUACCUUCUUCUGUGCGGUGAGGCUUGAGCCUGGUUGUGAAGGAUAAAGAAGAAAGAGCUCACCCGAUGGUUCCCGUGGAUAAAGGACAUUUUAAGGGAUGAAGAAGAGUGAUUCCAAAAUGCAGAUGUGCAGGCCGGACAGGUCUGGCCAGGCAGGAAGCCAUGGCAAACGGAAUGCAUGCCACUGGACACAAC